UACAUGGGGUGCAAACGUUGCUCGGAAUUAUUGGGCGUAAAGCGCACGUAGGCGGUCCGUUAAGUCAGAUGUGAAAGCCCCCGGCUCAACCGGGGAAGUGCAUCUGAAACUGGCGGGCUAGAGUACGAAAGAGGGUCGCGGAAUUCCCGGUGUAGAGGUGAAAUUCGUAGAUAUCAGGAGGAACACCGGCGGCGAAGGCGGCCCCCUGGCCCGCAACUGACGCUCAUGGUCGAAAGCGUGGGGAGCAAACAGG
rnacentral:rRNA from 1 species